ACACAUCUUGGCUAUGUAUGUCCUUUAUAAACUAUGGUCCACGUGUCGAGGGCAGAGA
rnacentral:tRNA from 1 species